GGCACCAGAAGGAACCUGCCCGUGGUGAUUGAAAACAAGAUCAAGGUCCAGAUCAGCGGGCGCUACGUGCUUUUGGAAACUGAUUUUGGACUCUGGGUCAGAUUUGACGGCAAUCACUAUGUGGAGGUCUCAGUGUCCGGUUGUUACAAGGGCCAGCUCUGUGGCCUGUGUGGUAAUUACAAUGGCGAUGCAAAGGAUGACAACCUAAAGCCGAAUGGCAGCAUUGCAGGAGAUUCCACGGAGCUUGGAGAGAGCUGGCUGGUGGCAGAGAAUCACACCAUAUGCUCCCCUGACCAAGUGCUGGUCUGUGACCCCCUGCUGGAGAGCGAAGCGAGGGAGGACACAGCCUGUGGCAUGAUCACCGACCCGACAG